GCAGCCCGGAGGCAUUAUGAGUUAAAUGUUUUUGGCCUUUGUAUACAGAAUGGCAGGCAUAUGAAAUGGUUGUAAUAAAUACACUAUGCCCCUUCACAACCGCUUGACAUAUGAAUGGUUUUUUUUUAUUUUUUUUUACAGUUUUCCUUUAGGUGUGCAGCAUGCAGACAGACUGAGACGAUGGCUGGUGAACAUAAGACGACAAGACUGGGAGCCCAGCAAGUCAUCUCAUCUCUGUAGUCUUCAUUUUGAAGACCAUGAAUUCACCAUUGAUACCUAUGGGAAUCGUCUGACUUGCACUGCAGUACCAACUGUGUUCUCCCUUCCUGACCACCUGGCGAAGAGACCUGCUAGUAGAAAGGCAAGUGGUUAUUUUCUUAUCCUUUCUUUGUCAAGUGCUGCAAAUGAGAAGGAAUGUGAAAUGGUGGCUGCUAAUACAUCAGAUCAAAAUGUGGCUUGUCAGUAGUGAGCAGUUACAUUUUUGUGUCACCCAAGACAUUAAAACGAAAGAAUGAUGUCAUGGUUGAGAUUGUGGAGAAAUAUUAAAAGAGGAUGAGAAAGUAAGACGUGUAAAGUAAGUUUCAUGGCAUAACACAAACUUAGAACUUUUUUUAUGUGUUGUCUGUAAUGCUAUACAACUGUAAUACCUCCUGGAAGUUUUGAUUUUAUUUAUGUUUUUUCACAUGGCGGUGGUGGUGCAGGAAGGGGGUAUUUUGUCUUCCGCCUCCCUCCUGCACCACCACCACCAUCACCAGAGCUGAAGGUCCACGCCACCAUCGCCAGAGCUGAAGGUCUACACCACCACCAUCACCAGAGCUGAAGGUCUACGCCACCAUCGCCAGAGCUGAAGGUCUACAACGCUGCUGCCACCAGAGCUGAAAUCUCUCUAAGUUAAUGACUAACCCCCCUCACCCCUUGGCAAACACAAUAAAACAUGGUCAUUUG